GACCAGAAAAGCAGAUAAGAUGUGGAAGAAUACCCAGAAAAAUGGCAUAAAGAAAGAUCCAGAAUCAUGAGCUCCACAGUGAAUUCCUUCCCAUGACGUGAUCUCGUGCUGAGGACACCUUACUGAACCAUAUAGCUGAGAUCCCUGUAUUGUUGGUGACAUAGGUCAGCACAAAAUCCAGAAGAAGCACUGGAAAAAAUCAACAUCUUUUCAUGAUGAAAAGUCUGAACAAAUAUCAUGUAAGAGGAUUUUACUUCAGCAUAUA